CCUACGGGAGGCAGCAGUGGGGAAUAUUGCACAAUGGGCGGAAGCCUGAUGCAGCGACGCCGCGUGAGGGAUGAAGGCCUUCGGGUUGUAAACCUCUUUCAGCAGGGACGAAGCGUGAGUGACGGUACCUGCAGAAGAAGCACCGGCUAACUACGUGCCAGCAGCCGCGGUAAUACGUAGGGUGCGAGCGUUGUCCGGAAUUACUGGGCGUAAAGAGUUCGUAGGCGGUUUGUCGCGUCGUUUGUGAAAACCCGGGGCUCAACUUCGGGCUUGCAGGCGAUACGGGCAGACUUGAGUGUUUCAGGGGAGACUGGAAUUCCUGGUGUAGCGGUGAAAUGCGCAGAUAUCAGGAGGAACACCGGUGGCGAAGGCGGGUCUCUGGGAAACAACUGACGCUGAGGAACGAAAGCGUGGGUAGCAAACAGGAUUAGAUACCCUGGUAGUCCACGCCGUAAACGGUGGGCGCUAGGUGUGGGUUCCUUCCACGGGAUCUGUGCCGUAGCUAACGCAUUAAGCGCCCGCUGGGGNGUCGCGCAGACAACACAAGAGUAGUAGCGNGNGAGAGCGACGACGACGACGACGGAGGAG
rnacentral:rRNA from 1 species